rnacentral:rRNA from 1 species
AGAGAUCAUGGCUCAGAAUCAACGCUGGCGGCGUGCCUAACACAUGCAAGUCGAACGCGAAAGGGGAGCAAUCCCUGAGUAGAGUGGCAAACGGGUGAGUAACACGUGGGUGCCCUGCCUUCGAGUGGGGGAUAACGUCCCGAAAGGGACGCUAAUACCGCAUGACAUCCUGCCUUUGGAAAGGCGGAGAUCAAAGCUGGGGAUCGCAAGACCUAGCGCUUGAAGAGGGGCCCGCGCCUGAUUAGCUAGUUGGUGAGGUAACGGCUCACCAAGGCAACGAUCAGUAUCCGGCCUGAGAGGGCGGACGGACACACUGGGACUGAGACACGGCCCAGACUCCUACGGGAGGCAGCAGUGGGGAAUUGUUCGCAAUGGGCGCAAGCCUGACGACGCAACGCCGCGUGGAGGACGAAGAUCUUCGGGUCGUAAACUCCUGUCGAGCGGGACGAACACCUUCCUGGUGAAUACCCGGGAAGGCUGACGGUACCGCUAAAGGAAGCCCCGGCUAACUCCGUGCCAGCAGCCGCGGUAAUACGGGGGGGGCAAGCGUUGUUCGGAAUUACUGGGCGUAAAGGGCUCGUAGGCGGCCAACUAAGUCAGACGUGAAAUCCCCAGGCUUAACCUGGGAACUGCGUCUGAUACUGGAUGGCUUGAAUUCGGGAGAGGGAUGCAGAAUUCCAGGUGUAGCGGUGAAAUGCGUAGAUAUCUGGAAGAAUACCGGUGGCGAAGGCGGCCUCCUGGGCCGACAUUGACCCUUAGA